rnacentral:rRNA from 1 species
CCUACGGGGGGCAGCAGUGGGGAAUAUUGGACAAUGGGGGGAACCCUGAUCCAGCCAUGCCGCGUGUGUGAAGAAGGCCCUCGGGUUGUAAAGCACUUUCAGUGAGGAAGAACGCCUGGUGGUUAAUACCCAUCAGGAAAGACAUCACUCACAGAAGAAGCACCGGCUAACUCCGUGCCAGCAGCCGCGGUAAUACGGAGGGUGCGAGCGUUAAUCGGAAUUACUGGGCGUAAAGCGCGCGUAGGUGGCUCGAUAAGCCGGUUGUGAAAGCCCCGGGCUCAACCUGGGAACGGCAUCCGGAACUGUCAAGCUAGAGUGCAGGAGAGGAAGGUAGAAUUCCCGGUGUAGCGGUGAAAUGCGUAGAGAUCGGGAGGAAUACCAGUGGCGAAGGCGGCCUUCUGGACUGACACUGACACUGAGGUGCGAAAGCGUGGGUAGCAAACAGGAUUAGAUACCCCUGUAGUC